GAGGGUGAGGAAUAACAGCAUAACUGAGUUGGAAGGGACCUUGGAGAUCUUCUAGUCCAACCCCUGCUCAAGCAGCGCCACUCCGUGAUGAACUCAGGCCCAAUGGAUUGGUAUGUUCUGGAUCAUACACAAGACACGGAGAUUCUAUCCAGCCGGAUCAGCAAAUUCUCUGUCUCGGCCGAGAGACCCAUUGUGUCAACCUUAAUUUUACCAUGAAUACAUUUGGAGCUAUUGAAGAAAGGGGUAUGCUCCGAGGAUGCGCAACCCCAAACGUAUGUUCCUAUCCUGUUGGAGAGACAAGAUUGGCGAAUGGCCUUGUAACGUUCAACAUCACAAAGGAGUGUAACACUAUUCCACUAUCACUUGAUCGUGCUUUUCUUCUCAAGUAGUCAGAACAUAGCCUUCUCCCUUUGUCUUUCAGGGUAUAUAAAAGUGAGAAGGAGAUUGGAGCUUCAGAAGUAAGAUGUAACAGGGGUUUGGGGUUAAGUAUUCUUGAGAGCUUGAUAGUAAUUUAAAAUAUGGAGGAGGAGCAGACCUGAGAGGGUUGAAAUGCUGUGUUUGGGCCUACUAGCUGACAUGAAUGUGGUUUUUCUCUAAACAUUCCG